AUGGUCUCCAUAGAUUGUAGGAAUAGUGCUGCACUGCACUGCAUCAAGGUUCAUAGCAGAGCUGUAUGCCUCCUGGACAGACUGAUGGUGCAGCAUGUGAAGAUCCACACAGUGGCAGUCACCUCUGUCUAUCCACACGGGCAGCCCCCACCUGUUAAACAAGAGCAGCUCCUUGUGGCAGAAGAAGCAUUUGAGCUCAGCCGAUUAAGUGGGAUAGCAUUUCACUUGCCAGAACUUCAGUUUAGAAACAAGACUGCCGCCAGUGGAAGUCUAAGUGGCUCAGCUAUGCUCUGGGUUGUUUUUAGGACAGAGUUCUAAAGCUUUUGAGUGAUUGUUGCUACAGUAUUUUUGAACACUCCACUCCUGGCUGUUUUGUUAAAUUGUCUUUUUCUCAGCCCCCAAGAGAUCCCAGUCCCCUCAUCAGCCUUUGCACUCAUGGAAUCACAGUGAAGGUUGAAGGGACUUCUGGAGAUCAUCCAGUCAAACCCCCAAGAAGCAGGCAAGAAGGCUUUAAACACCACUAUGUACCUAGAUAAGACUCAGACAGAGAGCUAAAAAGCUCUUCGUUACCUGGAAAGGAGGGGACUGUAAUGUCCCCACUGGAAAACAAAGGAGACUGUGUUCCUGGAAACAAGCUGCAGCUGCUUACAGCAGGUCUGUGGUGUUACACACCCCGCCUGCUUACUCUACAUGUCAAAAGCGUAACUCCCUUAAUGCAGCACUGGUAUAGCUCUCUGUUUUGGUUUUGCUCUCGUUUGUGGAUGGCUUUUUGUUGUUGUUGUUUGUUUUUUUGGGUGUUUUGUUUUGGUUUUGGUUGUUUGUUUGUUUUUGUAUUUUUAAAUAAAAGGCUUCAAGAAAAGCA
rnacentral:lncRNA from 1 species